rnacentral:rRNA from 1 species
AUACGGAGGAUGCAAGCGUUAUCCGGAUUUAUUGGGUUUAAAGGGUGCGUAGGCGGUUUGCUAAGCGGGAGGUGAAAUGCCGGCGCUCAACGUCGGAAGUGCCUCCCGAACUGGUGGACUGGAAUGACUCUGCCGUGGGAGGAAUGUGUAGUGUAGCGGUGAAAUGCUUAGAGAUUACACAGAACACCGAUUGCGAAGGCAUCUCACGAAGGGUUGAUUGACGCUGAGGCACGAAAGCGUGGGGAUCAAACAGGAUUAGAUACCCUGGUAGUCCACGCAGUAAACGAUGAUGGCUAACCGCUGGUUUAUUCGGAUCAGUGGCCAAGCGAAAGCGAUAAGCAAUCCACCUGGGGAGUACGACCGCAAGGUUGAAACUCAAAUGAAUUGACGGGG